rnacentral:rRNA from 1 species
UGGGGAAUUUUGCACAAUGGGGGGAACCUUGAUGCAGCGACGCCGCGUGAGGGAUGGAGGCCUUCGGGUUGUGAACCUCUUUCGCUCGUGUGCAAGCCGCUAUUUGGGUAGUGGUGAGUGUAGCGGGUAAAGAAGCGCCGGCUAACUACGUGCCAGCAGCCGCGGUAAUACGUAGGGCGCGAGCGUUGUCCGGAUUUAUUGGGCGUAAAGGGCUUGUAGGCGGUUUGUCGCGCCUGUCGUGUAAUCCUCUGGCUUAACUGGGGGUGUGCGGUGGGUACGGGCAGGCUUGAGUGCGGUAGGGGAGAUUGGAAUUCCUGGUGUAGCGGUGGAAUGCGCAGAUAUCAGGAGGAACACCGGUGGCGAAGGCGGGUCUCUUGGCCGUUACUGACGCUGAGGAGCGAAAGCGUGGGGAGCGAACAGG